GGGAAGACUGGGUUUUGCAAUACACAUAGAUCACCUGUUACAUCCGAUACCCUACCUUUAUUCUAUUCUUUGUCCUACAUUUCCCUGGACUUGGGGAAGUCAGCCAGUACUAUCCUGGCCCCAUUCAUUUCCUGAAUACAUUUCAUUACUGCGCUUAACCACAGUUGAAAGGGUUAAGCCUCUUAGAAUUAGAAUUUGGUCCCAUAUGCCCAACGUAGGCCAAUGUAGGCAUGGGACCAUUACCAGUUAGUGAAUGUGAUAGGGUCAGCAUAAGCAAUUACAAAUAUUAAUCUGAAGAAGAUGCCUGUCCAAAACAGUGACACUGUUGAUGAUACCACAAUGGAUACCACAGGGAUCUCAGGAAAAGGAGCAGGGUGAGAAGGGAACUUGCGAGUCACAGCAUCAGGGUCAGCAUUCAUUAGCAUAUGGAAAACAAAAGAGAGAGAACUUCCUGGUUCCAGAGGAACAAAGGUUAUAGGAGGCAUAGCUGAAAAAGAAAAAAAACAAAACUUUCUAGUCCCAAAUGAACCAAGGUCAAAAGAUCUCUGUUCAGAUGGAUGAUGAUUUGAGCCAAUACCCUCCACUCUGUCAGCUGUCUGCAGUCUCCCUGCUGUAGUUACAGGACUUGACUCAAGGACAGGAUGAACCGAGUGAAUUUUGCUGAAGUAUUUAGUUGUCAGGAACGAAUGGAAAAUACAUCUGGCAAGCCACAGGAAAGACUCAAACCUCUGUGGAGCUUUCUGUAAAUUUAUCUUAAGCAGUGCUCAAAAUAGAAUUCAAUAAAAGCAGUUCAAUCCCUCAUUUCAUCUAUGUAUGUUUGCACAACUAAAUGAAAAUGGUAAGAUGAAAUACUGACAGUGGUCACUAUCAACAGCUGGAGGUCAAUAAAGAAGAAGCUUUUGGAAAUUCUAUCAAGAAAUGAAAACCAGGAAUAUAUAAAUACUGCCAGGAAAUAUCUUACUGAGCUGCUACACAAUACAGAAAUCUCUGCAAUGCAAUUUCAGUUCAGGUCACUUCCUAUUCUACAUACUUCUCUAUUGUUUACUUUUCUGAAACAUAAUAUAUCUG
rnacentral:lncRNA from 1 species